GAUAAACGCUGGCGGCGUGCCUAAUACAUGCAAGUCGAGCGAACAGACGAGGAGCUUGCUCCUCUGACGUUAGCGGCGGACGGGUGAGUAACACGUGGAUAACCUACCUAUAAGACUGGGAUAACUUCGGGAAACCGGAGCUAAUACCGGAUAAUAUAUUGAACCGCAUGGUUCAAUAGUGAAAGACGGUUUUGCUGUCACUUAUAGAUGGAUCCGCGCCGCAUUAGCUAGUUGGUAAGGUAACGGCUUACCAAGGCGACGAUGCGUAGCCGACCUGAGAGGGUGAUCGGCCACACUGGAACUGAGACACGGUCCAGACUCCUACGGGAGGCAGCAGUAGGGAAUCUUCCGCAAUGGGCGAAAGCCUGACGGAGCACCGCCGCGUGAGUGAUGAAGGUCUUCGGAUCGUAAAGCUCUGUUAUUAGGGAAGAACAAAUGUGUAAGUAACUAUGCACGUCUUGACGGUACCUACUCAGAAAGCCACGGCUAACUACGUG
rnacentral:rRNA from 1 species